rnacentral:rRNA from 1 species
AACCUCCGCAAUGUGAGAAAUCGCGACGGGGGGAUCCCAAGUGCCAUUCUUAACGGGAUGGCUUUUCAUUAGUGUAAAGAGCUUUUGGAAUAAGAGCUGGGCAAGACCGGUGCCAGCCGCCGCGGUAACACCGGCAGCUCUAGUGGUAACAAUUUUUAUUGGGCCUAAAGCGUCCGUAGCCGGUUUAAUAAGUCUCUGGUGAAAUCCUGCAGCUUAACUGUGGGAAUUGCUGGAGAUACUAUUAGACUUGAGACCGGGAGAGGUUAGAGGUACUCCCAGGGUAGAGGUGAAAUUCUGUAAUCCUGGGAGGACCGCCUGUUGCGAAGGCGUCUAACUGGAACGGUUCUGACGGUGAGGGACGAAAGUUAGGGGCGCGAACCGGAUUAGAUACCCGGGUAGUCCUAACUGUAAACGAUGCGGACUUGGUGUUGGGGUGGCUUUGAGCUGCUUCAGUGCCGAAGGGAAGCUGUUAAGUCCGCCGCCUGGGAAGUACGGUCGCAAGACUGAAACUUAAAGGAAAU